rnacentral:lncRNA from 1 species
CCUGGCUGGGGAGUGAAGCCAGAGGGCAGAAGUGCCCUGGAGUGCAGACCCCAGCAGACACUGACCAGGCACAGGAGGAUGAAGUGAGUUUGUUGGGGACAGAGAACAGCCAAGGGGCAGCCGGCAGUCAGCUCAAGUCCUCACAAAGAAGGGCAAUACCACCCGUGGGCCGGGACAGUCGGCUCGAGGGCCAGCAGCCAGGAACGUGGCGAAGAACUUGGAUCUGAGGUGGGCCCAUGGUGUAGCUGUGGUGUGCUAGCAAGAGUGGCCUCCAAACCCACCCUGGAAGGUGAUCCAGAGACCAUAGAGCAGAAAGGCUUCCUUCUCAGAGUGAGCUGCUGGAAGCCCACCAGUGUCAGUGCCAAGAGGAGCUGGGGUGCCAGUAUCUGUGUAUCUUCAGAGGCAGCAGGGGCCAGUGUGCCACAUCUUGCCCCAGUCCUGAAAGGAUAGAUGGUAUUUGGCCUGUGACCCUUGGCUGAGGAGCCAUGGUCCGGCUCUGCCAGGCCCUGCUGCUGUUAGUGGCCACUGUGGCCCUUGCAUCCAGAAGAUUCCAAGCCUGGGGCUCAACAAAGGUGGUGAGGACAUUCCAAGAUAUCCCUCAAAACUACGUCUAUGUGCAGCAGGCACUCUGGUUCGCCAUGAAGGAGUAUAACAAGGCCAGCUUUAGUAUAACAAGUUCAGCUUUAGGGUGCUGAAGGUUCUGAAGAGCCAGGAGCAGGUGACAGAUAGUUUGGAGUACUAUAUUGAGGUCAAAAUUGCCCGAACAAUUUGCAAGAAAAUUUCAGAAGAUGAAAACUGUGCAUUUCAAGAGGAUCCCAAAAUGCAAAAGUCCAGCUGCUGCAUGGAAGUCCUACAAGGCUCUGGAACAGUCCCAAGACUCC